AGUCGAGGGGCAGCAUUUACUUCGGUAAAUGGCGACCGGCGCACGGGUGAGUAACGCGUAUGCAACCUACCUUUAACUGGGGCAUAGCUCGAGGAAACUCGAAUUAAUUCCCCAUAGUACAUUCUAUUAUCUCAUGAUAUAAAUGUUAAAGAUUUAUCGGUUAAAGAUGGGCAUGCGUCUGAUUAGUUUGUUGGUAAGGUAACGGCUUACCAAGACUACGAUCAGUAGGGGGUCUGAGAGGAUGAUCCCCCACACUGGUACUGAGACACGGACCAGACUCCUACGGGAGGCAGCAGUAAGGAAUAUUGGGCAAUGGGCGCAAGCCUGACCCAGCCAUGCCGCGUGCAGGAUGACGACCCUAUGGGUUGUAAACUGCUUUUAUAUAGGAAGAAAACACUCUUGCGAGAGAAACUGACGGUACUAUAUGAAUAAGGACCGGCUAACUCCGUGCCAGCAGCCGCGGUAAUACGGAGGGUUCAAGCGUUUUCCGGAUUUAUUGGGUUUAAAGAGUGCGUAGGUGGUUUAUUAAGCCAGUGGUGAAAUCCUGCAGCUCAACUGUAGAACUGCCAUUGAUACUGGUAAACUUGAGUUUGGUUUAGGUAAGUGGAAUUUAUGAUGUAGCGGUGAAAUGCAUAGAUAUCAUAAGGAACACCAAUAGCGAAGGCAGCUUACUGGACCACAACUGACACUGAGGCACGAAAGCGUGGGUAGCGAACAGGAUUAGAUACCCUGGUAGUCCACGCCGUAAACGAUGCUCACUCGAUGUUAGCGAUAUACUGUUAGCGUCCAAGCUAAAGCGUUAAGUGAG
rnacentral:rRNA from 1 species